rnacentral:lncRNA from 1 species
GGCUUUAGUAAAUGGAUUGUCUAGAUUCUUUUUUUCAUCGAUCUUCUAAGCUUGAUAUCACCUCGAUCCACGAUCUUUUAGAUCAGAUGGUAGCGACAUAGCAUAUGCUUGGUGCAUUAAUGGGACUUCAGUUUCUUUGCUUGAGCAAUGGCGCCAGUGCUAUCAUAGUAUAAUAGGAUCUGACCAUCUAGAGAGGGUGCCACUUCGAGCUCAUCGAUAAACUUUCAUAACCAUACAGCUUCUUUCAC